UAUGACUUACCAACACAACACUGGAACUCUUCCAAGUCAAGGAGCCAUGAACUACGCUCGGUUUUUGACAGCUGUAAGUGCAGCUCGGAAGCCCUCCUUCAUCCGAAUGUUGACUGAGCUCCAGCAGAGGUCUCUCCCUCCAUGAUCUCCCUGGCCGGAGGGGCUCCCAACACCUUCCCCUUCCAGUCCUGCUCCAUCCAGGUGAAGAAUGGGGACAGAAUGGGGACACGAUCACUUUCGACGAGACCAUGAUGAAGAGGGCUCUACAGUACUCUGCCUCCAGCGGGUUUUUGAAAUGCUUGUCAAUCCUGGAGACGUUUUACUCCUCGCAUCUACCUACUCUGGAACUCUCGCUGCAGUAAGAAGCACUUCUCUUUCUCUCUCUCUUUCACCCUCCCUCCCUCCGGUGACCAGCACGGUAUGAUCCUGGGAGGCCUGAAGGAGGUGCUGUCCCGCUGUGACCUGGCAGACGUCCACAAGCCACACAGCACCAUACCCAGGGUCCUCUACACCAUCCCCAAUGGAGGAAACCCCACUGGGGCCUCCUUGACCACCCAGAGGGAGAUUUACAAGCUUGUCAGACAGAAUGACCUCCUUAUUAUCGAGGAUGACCCCUAUUACUUCCUACAGUGAAAAGGACAGACUCCUUCUCAAAGAUCCUGUCAUCAUGGCUGAGAAUAGGCUUUGUGGGCCCAAGCCGCUGGUGGACAGAGUGGUACUACACAUCCAGGCUUCUACGAUGCACACCAGCACCUUCACACAGCUCAUUGUGUCCCAACUGCUGCAUGGCUGAGGUCAGGAAGGUGUCCUCAACAACAUAGAUGGUGCUCACUCCUCCCCAACUCACGGCUGUCAUGGUGACUGGUACCAGGCUGUGUCUCUUCUCCUCCCAGAGGAUCCCUCCUAUAGGAUCCCUGACGGCUAACAACAACAUAUCCCGACAUGUGACAGAGUGGCGUGAUCCAGCUGCAGGCAUGUUCCUGUGGAUCAAGCUGAAGGACAUCGCAGACACCCAGCAGCUGAUCAUGGAGAAAGCUCUGGAGGAGAAGGUGCUGCUUGUCCCUAGAGGUGUAUUCAUGAUCAACAGCUUAGACCCUUGUCCUUAUGUCAGAGCGGCCUUCUCCCUCUCCACACCGCAACAGAUCGAUGAGGUGAAGAAACAGACACACACACACACACACACUUGAAGUCAAUAAAUGAGUAAUAAAUAUA